rnacentral:lncRNA from 1 species
AAUAUUGACAUAAUAGAAGUAAGUGGAUCAAUAAAGUAUCCGAACUCGAAAGACAAAUCACUAGUGAUGGUCCAAGUCCUUAGGGAUUGAUAGAUCGAAGUUCUAUCUAUUUGCUCAAUAGAUAGAUCGAUCGAAAAAAUCAUAACUAUACUUAACAAUAAAAUACUAAUAAAAGCCCACAUACGGCGAAGAUUUUUUGUUGCGGUCGGAAAAAAUAGAAGUCCCACCCCUAUUAACAUAGGGACUGGAAGUGGAACUAAAGGUAUGAUCCAGGAAUAUUGAUAUGUAUGUUCCAUAAAAUCAAUAAAGUAAUAAUAAUUGUUUUUUAUUCUUAAUUCAGUGUUUCUGAUUCACCGGUUCUUAUCUCUUUUAAACUGAAAAGGGAUUAAUAAAAAAAUUAAGGUUAAGGUAUUAAAAUGAAAAACUUAAAUAAAAUUCGCUUUUUCUAUUCAUAGUUAUUUUGAAUCUUUCCCACCAACUUCAAAAAAAUGAAGAGUUAAAAACAAUCAAAUGUUCUAACUAAGCUACUAGUCAAAAAUAAAUAAUUAUUUUCUACUUUAUACUACGUAAGAUUUUUAGGAAGAUAGAGCAAAUUCAAACUUCACUUAUUAUUCUCUAAUUACACUAAUUUAUGUCCAUAGAUCAAGACGAAAGAAUUACACAAAAUUAAAUUUGAUAUAAAUCAUAGGCUGACCCCUACCGUUCCCCAAUAAAAUACGAAUUAGUUUUUUUAUUCUUUGUUUAUUCACAACCAUUAACUAGUUCAUCUCGGCACGUAUUGAUUGUCUACUAUUAUAAUUAUAAUAAAAGACAUUUAAUUAUAAAAAAAAGACAUUUAAUAACCAAUUACUAGACAAAAAUGGUUGGGUAGAUAAAACCUGUUCGAUGUAUUUUUCAUGGAUAAAUGUAGCAGGCCGAAAAUAGACAGAGAUAAGGGCGGAAGGGCUUUUUCUUUUUUUUUUUUUUUUUUUUUUUUUUUUUUUUUUUUUUUUUUUUUUUUUUUUUUUUUUUUUUUUUUUUUUUUUUUUUUAUGC